UCUCGGUUUAGGGCAAUCCCUCACAAAGUGUCCAACCUCGCCACAGUUAAAACAUGCUCCUGUGGUCAACUUACACACUCCGCCAUGAUAUCUACCACAAUGAACACAACUACGAGUAACUGGAGGAGCUCGUGGAGGUGGCAAUGGUGGUCUGAACUGUCUCUGGCUCUGUGGCCUCACACUGCUAGAUCUAGGAGGAAAUGGACUGAAGAAUCUCCUCUUUUUAUUACUAGAGCUACUAGCCACUGGGAAAGUCCUCCUGACACUCUUCUCCUCUAUGCUUCGGCGAUAUAGAUCGGACCCUUCACAUAUAUUGCCUUUAGAAUCAAUUGAAGUUAAUCGAGAC
rnacentral:lncRNA from 1 species